rnacentral:tRNA from 1 species
GAUCCCAUGGUCUAGUGGUUAGGACAUUGGACUCUGAAUCCAAUAACUUGAGUUCAAAUCUCGGUGGGACCU